rnacentral:lncRNA from 1 species
CCCCACUGUAAAAUCUGACAAGCAGAGAACAGUGGUGGAGACUUUCGAGGAUGCUGGUGCUCCCCUCACAAAACUGUUUCUGGGCUUGGCAGGGAUGAGACGGUGCAGCCCGUGCUCACAGUGUUGCAGAAAUUCUUGAUUUUUCUGGGAUGUGAAGACACCAGAGGGCAGAAACUGGGACACUUAAAAUUUGGUCUCCACAGAGAGGGUCACUGUGCAAGCAAAGGACCUUUGAUGAUGUAUUUAAAGCCAGAACUUAAACACAAAGCUACUAGAAAUACUUCCUCCUGCAUGGUAGAGUUGCUUCUCCAUCUUGUCUUCCAAGAUUCUUGUUGUCAGGAAAAAUUUUUACCAUGAACUUGUGAACUGCAAUAUUGAACAAGCUCCCAUGUUGAUGGAUGGACAUAAGAACAUGUGAACAUGAACACUGAAAUCUCACUGGGGACACACGUGGGCCCUUGGCUAACACUGAAGAAGUGGACCUGUGGCACGGAGGGUGCUCCAUCAGCUGUUGGAACUCAUGCCUAGGAAAACACUCAUGGAAACAGAUGACAUUCAUUGCCAAGAAUUACUCAGAAAUGUAAAACCACAGAAUUAGGAGAAACUCUCAGAUCCAAGGAAACACUAAACAUUGAAACACAGAUGUGAUUGCUGAAAAAGAUUUCCACCUUUUGCUUGAACUGUCCAUAAAACUAUGUUUUUCCUGACGCAUGAGACUGUGAUUUACUUAAUCUUUUGUUUUCAUUUGGCCUCUAAUGUUACAGCAGUGGUCCCGUGUGUCUCAGUGCUCACGGACACCUGUUACCAAUGUGUCCUGCUAGCGCUGAGGCUGACUCAUUCUUGUGGCUGUAGUGCUCUGUGACACAACAGACAUCACUGUUUUUCUCAUCAUUAACACAUAUCUUGGGGAUAUUUACUAAGUGAUAUGCAUGAGCCAUAGCACUCAAUAAGCAGAAUGCAUUUUUCUGAAUUUUAUCUGGCUGGUACCUUAGCUUGGAGAAUGAAGGUUCUUGGCUUUGUUUGCUGGAGACACUGGUGUUCACAGGGAGAGCAAUGAAACAGAGCUCUGCUCUGUAGGCUUCUGUUCUAUUCCACAUGCAUCUCAGAGACACGUUUUGCUCCUGAGCCACCACUCCUGUUAAUAUGGAAGAAACUAUAAAUCCUGUAAAACUGUGAUCUUAAGUCAUCCAUACAUUAUUCCCUCAAUAUACACCUUUCUCCUAUUAAAAUAUAUAGAAUUUGUGGCAUGAGCAUCAUGAAAGAGGUUUCACUAAAUGCAACGAGUAAGGACAAACCACAGAUUCACUGAAUCACAGUCUACAAUUUGGUAAGGUUUACAAUUUAUCACUGUCAAUGUAAAAACUCAAGAUGUGCACUCAUAAC